AACCAUAAACACUGCUGUGUCAAGUUACAGUUACAUUUUUCACCAAUCAGGAUUCACGGAUUAGGGGCUUUCCCUAUGUGUUCCAUCAUUGUCAAGUGGUGCAGACUAUUCAACCAAUCAGAUUCAUCUAUUGUUUUUGUUGUUAGGGACAGGCAGAAUUUGGAGAUUGUUGCUUAGAAAGGAAUUUAGUUAGCUUCUGGACAGUCCCAUUGGGAACUUCAUGUGAACUUGAACAUUGUUUCAUCCUACAGGUAAAAUGGAGUCUGAAGUCAAAACGGCUGUAUUGAGGUCAAGAUGUGUUUGCCUGGUCCCUUCACAAUGCAUUGGAACUCAAAUCCACUGAGGUCAUGGACAGUGGUCCUGCCAGCUCACUUCUGGACAUUAUGCAGUCCUCUAUUAUAAAAAGCCUCCUUGAUCCCCAGGAAUAUGUCAAAUCCUCCAAAAUCCCUGAGAAAUCUCAUUUUCAAGGUGUAUUUUAUUGAAUAUUAUACUCAUAAGAAUGGAUGCCUCCUUAGCACUUCAAUGUGUGACAUUAUGAAUAAGUUGGACACUUGUAGGUAUGAUGAAUUAACAUUAAAUGAGAUUGUGCUGAGUCGCA